rnacentral:rRNA from 1 species
UACGUAGGGUGCGAGCGUUAAUCGGAAUUCCUGGGCGUAAAGCGUGCGCAGGCGGUUUUGUAAGCCAGAUGUGAAAUCCCCGGGCUUAACCUGGGAAUGGCAUUUGGGACUGCAAGGCUCGAGUGCGGCAGAGGAGACUGGAAUUCCUGGUGUAGCAGUGAAAUGCGUAGAUAUCAGGAGGAACACCGAUGGCGAAGGCAGGUCUCUGGGCUGACACUGACGCUCAUGCACGAAAGCGUGGGGAGCAAACAGG